rnacentral:rRNA from 1 species
CCUACGGGAGGCUGCAGUGGGGAAUAUUGGGCAAUGGAGGAAACUCUGACCCAGCCACGCCGCGUGAAUGAUGAAGGUCCUCGGAUUGUAAAGUUUUUUUCAUAGAGAAGAAGAAAGUGACGGUACCUUAGGAAUAAGCCUCGUCUAACUACGUGUCAGGAGCCGCGGUAAUACGUAGGAGGCGAGCGUUAUCCGGAAUGACUGGGGGUAAAGGGUGCGUAGGUGGGUUGGAAAGUUAGUAGCGUAACUCCAAGGCUCAACCUUGGAACUACUACUAACACUGGUGGACUUGAGUGCAGGUGGGGCAACCGGAAUUCCUGGUGUAGCGGUGGAAUGCGUAGAUAUCACGAAGAACUUCAGUGGCGAAGGCGGGUUGCUAGACUGUAACUGACACUGAGGCACGAAAGCGUGGGUAGCAAACAGGAAUAGAUACCCGGGUAGUC